GACGGGAUUUGCGAAACCCAAGGUGCAUGCCGAGGGGCGGUUGGCCUCGUAAAAAGCCGCAAAAAAUAGUCGCAAACGACGAAAACUACGCUUUAGCAGCUUAAUAACCUGCUUAGAGCCCUCUCUCCCUAGCCUCCGCUCUUAGGACGGGGAUCAAGAGAGGUCAAACCCAAAAGAGAUCGCGUGGAAGCCCUGCCUGGGGUUGAAGCGUUAAAACUUAAUCAGGCUAGUUUGUUAGUGGCGUGUCCGUCCGCAGCUGGCAAGCGAAUGUAAAGACUGACUAAGCAUGUAGUACCGAGG
rnacentral:tmRNA from 1 species